rnacentral:rRNA from 1 species
GAUGAACGCUGGCGGCGUGCCUAAUACAUGCAAGUCGAGCGAACGGACGAGAAGCUUGCUUCUCUGAUGUUAGCGGCGGACGGGUGAGUAACACGUGGAUAACCUACCUAUAAGACUGGGAUAACUUCGGGAAACCGUAGCUAAUACCGGAUAAUAUUUUGAACCGCAUGGUUCAAAAGUGAAAGACGGUCUUGCUGUCACUUAUAGAUGGAUCCGCGCUGCAUUAGCUAGGUGGUAAGGUAACGGCUUACCAAGGCAACGAUGCAUAGCCGACCUGAGAGGGUGAUCGGCCACACUGGAACUGAGACACGGUCCAGACUCCUACGGGAGGCAGCAGUAGGGAAUCUUCCGCAAAGGGCGAAAGCCUGACGGAGCAACGCCGCGUGAGUGAUGAAGGUCUUCGGAUCGUAAAACUCUGUUAUUAGGGAAGAACAUAUGUGUAAGUAACUGUGCACAUCUUGACGGUACCUAAUCAGAAAGCCACGGCUAACUACGUG